UCGAACGGUAAGGCCCUUCGGGGUACACGAGUGGCGAACGGGUGAGUAACACGUGGGUGAUCUGCCCUGCACUUCGGGAUAAGCCUGGGAAACUGGGUCUAAUACCGGAUAUGACCUCUGCCUGCAUGGGUGGGGGUGGAAAGCUUUUGCGGUGUGGGAUGGGCCCGCGGCCUAUCAGCUUGUUGGUGGGGUUAAGGCCUACCAAGGCGACGACGGGUAGCCGGCCUGAGAGGGUGUCCGGCCACACUGGGACUGAGAUACGGCCCAGACUCCUACGGGAGGCAGCAGUGGGGAAUAUUGCACAAUGGGCGCAAGCCUGAUGCAGCGACGCCGCGUGGGGGAUGACGGCCUUCGGGUUGUAAACCUCUUUCACCAGGGACGAAGCGCAAGUGACGGUACCUGGAGAAGAAACACCGGCCAACUACGUGCCAGCAGCCGCGGUAAUACGUAGGGUGCGAGCGUUGUCCGGAAUUACUGGGCGUAAAGAGCUCAUAGGUGGUUUGUCGCGUUGUUCGUGAAAUCUCACAGCUCAACUGUGGGCGUGCGGGCGAUACGGGCAGACUGGAGUACUGCAGGGGAGACUGGAAUUCCUGGUGUAGCGGUGGAAUGCGCAGAUAUCAGGAGGAACACCGGUGGCGAAGGCGGGUCUCUGGGCAGUAACUGACGCUGAGGAGCGAAAGCGUGGGGAGCGAACAGGAUUAGAUACCCUGGUAGUCCACGCCGUAAACGGUGGGUACUAGGUGUGGGUUUCCUUCCUUGGGAUCCGUGCCGUAGCUAACGCAUUAAGUACCCCGCCUGGGGAGUAUGGUCGCAAGGC
rnacentral:rRNA from 1 species